CAUAUCAAUAAGCGGAGGAAAAGAAACCAACAGGGAUUGCCUCAGUAACGGCGAGUGAAGCGGCAAUAGCUCAAAUUUGAAAUCUGGCUCUUUUAGAGUCCGAGUUGUAAUUUGUAGAGGAUGCUUCGGCUUACGUCCCGGUCUAAGUUCCUUGGAACAGGACGUCACAGAGGGUGAGAAUCCCGUUUGUGGCCGGCGACUUCCGCCAUGUGAAGCUCCUUCGACGAGUCGAGUUGUUUGGGAAUGCAGCUCUAAAUGGGAGGUAAAUUUCUUCUAAAGCUAAAUACUGGCCAGAGACCGAUAGCGCACAAGUAGAGUGAUCGAAAGAUGAAAAGCACUUUGGAAAGAGAGUUAAAAAGUACGUGAAAUUGUUGAAAGGGAAGCGCUUGCGACCAGACUUGCCCGCGGUUGCUCAACCGGUCCUUCGGCCGGUGCACUCUUCCGCGGUCAGGCCAGCAUCAGUUCGAGCGGUCGGAUAAAGGCCUUGGGAAUGUGGCUCUCUUCGGGGAGUGUUAUAGCCCUUGGUGCAAUACGACCUGCCUGGACUGAGGCCCGCGUUUUUGCUAGGAUGCUGGCGUAAUGGUCGUAAGCGGCCCGUCUUGAAACACGGACCAAGGAGUCUAACAUCUAUGCGAGUGUUUGGGUGUCAAACCCGUGCGCGUAAUGAAAGUGAACGGAGGUGGGAACCCUUUGGGUGCACCAUCGACCGAUCCUGAUGUCUUCGGAUGGAUUUGAGUAAGAGCAUAGCUGUUGGGACCCGAAAGAUGGUGAACUAUGCCUGAAUAGGGUGAAGCCAGAGGAAACUCUGGUGGAGGCUCGCAGCGGUUCUGACGUGCAAAUCGAUCGUCAAAUUUGGGUAUAGGGGCGAAAGACUAAUCGAACCAUCUAGUAGCUGGUUCCUG
rnacentral:rRNA from 1 species